UUUGUUGGACCAUCCCUGCAACUGCAACCAAAUCCUCAAUAAAAUUUCUCUUUCCUCUUGUUCAAGAAUCAAAAGUUCUGAUCAAGAAAUCAGCAGCAAAUCUACAUUUUUUAAUACCCUGUUUUUCCUCUGUUUCUUCUAUACACAUCUUAUUACCUUACAUGAGAUGCCUUUUGUUUUCCACUUCCUAUUUCUCGUUAACCAAAAAGAUUAAAUAAAAAAAAAAUUCCCUUUAAAAAUUCCCUUCUUAUUUGUUUAUUUUAAGAUUGAAUAGAACUCGUAAAGUGCUCUGUUUUCUCUGUAAGAUUCCAGCUCAAUCAAAAUAUGAUAACCACUUAAUCAGACUGAAAAACCAUGAUUUAGCAUCUGGGUAUAGCAGAUCAAGGAUUACCUGAGAA
rnacentral:misc_RNA from 1 species